CAUUGUGCUUGCACAGAUGACGACCGGCGCACGGGUGCGUAACGCGUAUAGAACCUACCUUUUACAGAGGAAUAGCCUUUAGAAAUGAAGAUUAAUGCCUCAUAGUAUUGUAGACUGGCAUCAGUUUAUAAUUAAAGAUUUAUCGGUAAAAGAUGGCUAUGCGUCCUAUUAGUUAGUUGGUAAGGUAACGGCUUACCAAGACAGCGAUAGGUAGGGGUCCUGAGAGGGAGAUCCCCCACACUGGUACUGAGACACGGACCAGACUCCUACGGGAGGCAGCAGUGAGGAAUAUUGGACAAUGGAGGAGACUCUGAUCCAGCCAUGCCGCGUGUAGGAAGAAUGCCCUAUGGGUUGUAAACUACUUUUAUACAGGAAGAAACACUGGUAUGUAUACCAGCUUGACGGUACUGUAAGAAUAAGGACCGGCUAACUCCGUGCCAGCAGCCGCGGUAAUACGGAGUGUCCGAGCGUUAUCCGGAAUCAUUGGGUUUAAAGGGUCCGCAGGCGGUCUAUUAAGUCAGAGGUGAAAUCCCAUAGCUCAACUAUGGAACUGCCUUUGAUACUGGUUGACUUGAGUCAUAUGGAAGUAGAUAGAAUGUG
rnacentral:rRNA from 1 species